rnacentral:rRNA from 1 species
GAUGAACGCUGGCGGCGUGCCUAAUACAUGCAAGUCGAGCGAACGGACGAGAAGCUUGCUUCUCUGAUGUUAGCGGCGGACGGGUGAGUAACACGUGGAUAACCUACCUAUAAGACUGGGAUAACUUCGGGAAACCGUAGCUAAUACCGGAUAAUAUUUUGAACCGCAUGGUUCAAAAGUGAAAGACGGUCUUGCUGUCACUUAUAGAUGGAUCCGCGCUGCAUUAGCUAGUUGGUAAGGUAACGGCUUACCAAGGCAACGAUGCAUAGCCGACCUGAGAGGGUGAUCGGCCACACUGGAACUGAGACACGGUCCAGACUCCUACGGGAGGCAGCAGUAGGGAAUCUUCCGCAAUGGGCGAAAGCCUGACGGAGCAACGCCGCGUGAGUGAUGAAGGUCUUCGGAUCGNUAAACUCUGUUAUUAGGGAAGAACAUAUGUGUAAGUAACUGUGCACAUCUUGACGGUACCUAAUCAGAAAGCCACGGCUAACUACGUGCCAGCAGCCGCGGUAAUACGUAGGUGGCAAGCGUUAUCCGGAAUUAUUGGGCGUAAAGCGCGCGUAGCGGUUUUUUAGCCUGAUGUGAAAGCCCACGGCUCAACCGUGGAGGGUCAUUGGAAACUGGAAAACUUGAGUGCAGAAGAGGAAAGUGGAAUUCCAUGUGUAGCGGUGAAAUGCGCAGAGAUAUGGAGGAACACCAGUGGCGAAGGCGACUUUCUGGUCUGUAACUGACGCUGAUGUGCGAAAGCGUGGGGAUCAAACAGGAUUAGAUACCCUGGUAGUCCACGCCGUAAACGAUGAGUGCUAAGUGUUAGGGGGUUUCCGCCCCUUAGUGCUGCAGCUAACGCAUUAAGCACUCCGCCUGGGGAGUACGACCGCAAGGUUGAAACUCAAAGGAAUUGACGGGGACCCGCACAAGCGGUGGAGCAUGUGGUUUAAUUCGAAGCAACGCGAAGAACCUUACCAAAUCUUGACAUCCUUUGACAACUCUAGAGAUAGAGCCUUCCCCUUCGGGGGACAAAGUGACAGGUGGUGCAUGGUUGUCGUCAGCUCGUGUCGUGAGAUGUUGGGUUAAGUCCCGCAACGAGCGCAACCCUUAAGCUUAGUUGCCAUCAUUAAGUUGGGCACUCUAAGUUGACUGCCGGUGACAAACCGGAGGAAGGUGGGGAUGACGUCAAAUCAUCAUGCCCCUUAUGAUUUGGGCUACACACGUGCUACAAUGGACAAUACAAAGGGCAGCGAAACCGCGAGGUCAAGCAAAUCCCAUAAAGUUGUUCUCAGUUCGGAUUGUAGUCUGCAACUCGACUACAUGAAGCUGGAAUCGCUAGUAAUCGUAGAUCAGCAUGCUACGGUGAAUACGUUCCCGGGUCU